GAUCCUGGCUUAGGAUGAACGCUAGCUACAGGCUUAACACAUGCAAGUCGAGGGUAGCAGGGUGGCAAUACCGCUGACGACCGGCGCACGGGUGAGUAACACGUAUCCAACCUUCCCAUAACUCAGGGAUAGCCUUUCGAAAGAAAGAUUAAUACCUGAUAGUACUUUUUCAAGGCAUCUUGAGAAAGUUAAAGAUUUAUUGGUUAUGGAUGGGGAUGCGUUCCAUUAGAUAGUUGGUGAGGUAACGGCUCACCAAGUCUUCGAUGGAUAGGGGUUCUGAGAGGAAGGUCCCCACAUUGGUACUGAGACACGGACCAAACUCCUACGGGAGGCAGCAGUGAGGAAUAUUGGUCAAUGGGCGAGAGCCUGAACCAGCCAAGUAGCGUGAAGGAUGAAGGUCCUAUGGAUUGUAAACUUCUUUUAUAGUAGAAUAAAGUGAUCCACGUGUGGAUUUUUGUAUGUAUACUAUGAAUAAGGAUCGGCUAACUCCGUGCCAGCCGCUGC
rnacentral:rRNA from 1 species